ACCACAAGCGAAGGUCAAGUGUGCUCCGCAGGGCAGGCACUCACCUCAUACCCCUUCAGAGAUGGGCCCACCAAGACCACAGGCCGCAUGGAAGGUACCACGUCAUAAGGAGGAGUGUGCUCUGUCUGCAGAGAGAGAGGAGGGGGCUUCAGAUGGUUAAGAGAACAGUCGUCCGUCCGCAGUCUGGCUACAGCCAGAUCGACUGAGUUCUCGCCCUGAUUCUACCACUUACGAGUUGUGCAAGUUGGUCAAGUUCCCUACCUACCUUCGCUUUGCCUGUUGCCUCGUCUGUGAAGUGGAAGUUUUAAAACGUCUUGUUCCUGUAGGUUCUUAUAAAGCUGAACUGAUGACGGACAUCAGACCGGGGGGUGUCCACUUGGAAGGACACUGUGCUUCCUUCGCAAACCUCCUCCCUUCCUACUCCUUGCAAGUAUUCUCAGUUUGUACGUGAAUAAGCAGAGAAAGAUACACACAUCCAUCUCUGUAAAAAGCCAUCCCAGAUUUCCCACAAUGCAUUCUUCCAAAGACGUGGACAAAGAAAAGUUCAAGGUAAUGUUAGUUUAUACGUGAAAAAUAGCCCCAUCCCGAUUCAGAGGCUGAAGAGAUUGAAGUCUCGGGAAAAGCUUUCUUAAGGGAAUUUCCUAAUACCUAGUGCUGUCCUAAACUCGUCUGACCAAACAACCUCUUGAAAAUAGUGAAGUAUCCUCAGCAAAUAAAAUGAAAACAAUCCCCUGAGAUCACAUCAAACCUCAACAAACCAUAUACCAGCAAAUUCAAAACAGCAAUAUCUAUACCCUAUGAAAAUAAAACUGUUCCAUGUUGUAAGAUUUUACUAGCUCGUAUGGAGAGACCACUGUCAAUAUAGAGAAUAGGAAAAUACACAGGAGAACCCUGGACAUUUUAUGAAUAGGAUCUCCUCUCCAACACCCUACAAGUAAAAUGCGCAUGCUCUCUUGAUCUGCGUGCAUCCACUUUUAUAUGACUAAACACAUCUCAGAAUCUGAGAGCCCCCAGUAACCCAGGGAUUAAUGAAAGCCAAAUAUGGGGGAGGGGUUUCAAACAAGGGAGGAAUUCACCUGAACUCAAACAGCCUGACAGUUACAAAAUACGAGUUAAAAAAGAGGGCUGUUUCAAACCAAAAAAAAGAUCUUCUAUUUGACUUAUUUGCAGACACUUGGGGAAAGGGGAAUCUUGCUUACGCUAAAAUAUUACCGGUGGCAAAGGAUCUUGCAGCAUGAUAGAAACAAAACAUAACCAAGAAAACAGAAGCCUAGCAAUGCACAUUAAUGAAAAGGUUUGCCCAAAUCACAUCCCUUCGCCCAUGGAGAAGCAGGCCAUGUUCUCUGACUUGUCUGCAUAGGGUUCAAUUUCAAAGUCACUCCAUGUCUGAGGAGCCCUUCCGGGGAUUCUUUUAAUGAGGGGCACACAAUCUCAAGAAUCCUCGGAAGGAUUAUUCAACCCCAGCUUAUUACAUAACUGAUUUAACUGCUCUCAGCAAAGGCAGAGUUAACUCGCUUCACACUGAGUUUCCCUUUACGUGCUUAGCAGUGGACAGACCUGAAAAUUCAGUUUCCUGAGUAAAAACGAAAGAGCCAUGCCCAGCAGCUAUAUCAUGGGCACUGGGAUUAGUCACCGAGGUUGCUUGCGAGCCAGAAUGCUUUCGGUAGGAAAUAAGAACUUGAGAAUUUCCCCUGCACUGAAGCCCAAAUUUAACCCUCAAUGCCUUUAUUAUUAAUGAUAACAAUUAAUUUGACUCUCUCCCAAAGAAGAAGAAAAUCAGAUGCUGGGAGGAAGGCUUGAAAAUGCAGGAUUUGUGAUGCCCAUCAGGAAACCGUAUCGCCAGUCUGCUUUUCAACAUCUAAUAAAGGCCGUGGAACACAGAAAACAAGAAGACAGGGAUGAUGAUGUUUGCACAGACACUUGAUGUUUUUCUCAUACCUGGAGUAGAAUUUCCCUUGCUUGGCUCUCUGUUCAUGCUGCAGCCUCAUAUUUUCUAGUUUGACUGGGCUUGGAAUGAAUCCGAUUUCACAGCCUUCUUUAACCAGUCGCCCUAUCCACCAGUCAUUGUUAAAUUUCUAAACACAAAAUCAAAAUUUGUUAUGAUCAGUGCACGGACGUUCGUGUCUUCAGAUUGGUUUUCUUCUGCCUGAACUAUUUUCAGGUGUGAGAAAUAUUACGGCGAAUACAGUCGGCUACGCCUCAACAUCACAAGUGGAGAAAGCCUAAGGAUUGCAGGCGUUGAACACCUAAGACUAAAUUACUGCUGGUGAGCUCAGCAGUUCACCAUAGGAUGUACCCCACGCUCCGUUUCCUGGUUCGGUUCCAGCCUAGCCUGAACCUCAGUGCGGCCUCUGUAGGUCCCUUGUUCAAGAACUAACAGCUCUUCCCUUUAAGAACCAGGGAGUGUUAGAGUUCUUUUCUGUAAUCAGAUUACUUAAAAAUAGUAAGAGUCAGUGAUAAAUCUUGAAAAUCUACCUGAAAUGGUUUGGAUCUGAGCCAAAUCUCCCUGUGUGCAAAGAGGUUUAUAAUUACAAUGGAAAUGUGUUCACCAGCGAUUUCUCCACUUACGUGGAUGUUGACAAUUUCCCUCUUGCAGAUGGAAUGUUUAUCCUACUACGCCUUUAUGAUUUGGUUUUACUUCUCUCAAUGGAAUAGUACUUUUCCAUUCUAUUCCUGCACAUGUCAAAGAAGAAUAUCCACUCCGUUUUUCUUUCCCUUCCAUGGUAGAGAAGAGAAGUGUCUUUAAGUGUCAGCCCACAGGAGGAGACCCGGGGUUAACCCAACUUCUGGCUGGAAAGUCAGAUUUGAGGCAUGCCAUCAUUUCUGACAGCAUUUCCUUUCCAGCCAGUAUCUCAUACCUCUUUCUAAAACAUUAACAAAAUGGUAGAUUCUAGGAUUAAAUUCUCUAGGAUUUUUUUCUUACAUUAUAUAAAAACAUUUUUGAUUCGAGGCUAAAACUGUACCUUCUCCACACCUCUUUACUACACAGAGUUGUAGAGUAUGGAUUUAUUUUUCUUCUUUAAUAAAAAUUUUUAUUUGA